rnacentral:rRNA from 1 species
UGCCUAGGCAUAAACUUCCCCCGCCAGAAAAUUACGAGCGAAAGCUUAAAACUCAAAAGACUUGACGGUGCCCCAACCUACCUAGAGGAGCCUGUUCCAUAAUCGAUAACCCACGAUAAACCCAACCGCCCCUUGAAAAUUCAGCCUAUAUACCGCCGUCGACAGCCCACCUUCCAAAAGAACUAAAGUAGGCCAAAUAGGACUUCCCCCUAAAAAGUCAGGUCAAGGUGUAGCUAAUGAGGUGGAGACAAUGGGCUACAUUUUUUAAAAUAAACCAUCAACGAAUUAGCCCCUGAAAACUUUAAGGCUAUGAAGGUGGAUUUAGCAGUAAGCCAAAAAAGAAUACUUGACUUAACCAAGCUCUGGGACACGUACAC